rnacentral:rRNA from 1 species
CUUGAACGCUGGCGGAAUGCUUUACACAUGCAAGUCGAACGGCAGCACGGACUUCGGUCUGGUGGCGAGUGGCGAACGGGUGAGUAAUGUAUCGGAACGUGCCCAGUCGUUGGGGAUAACGUAGUGAAAAUUACGCUAAUACCGCAUACGAUCUAUGGAUGAAAGCGGGGGAUCGCAGGACCUCGCGCGAUUGGAGCGGCCGAUAUCAGAUUAGGUAGUUGGUGGGGUAAAGGCCCACCAAGCCAACGAUCUGUAGCUGGUCUGAGAGGACGACCAGCCACACUGGAACUGAGACACGGUCCAGACUCCUACGGGAGGCAGCAGUGGGGAAUUUUGGACAAUGGGCGAAAGCCUGAUCCAGCCAUUCCGCGUGCAGGAUGAAGGCCCUCGGGUUGUAAACUGCUUUUGUACAGAACGAAAAGGUUUCUACUAAUACUAGGAGCUCAUGACGGUACUGUAAGAAUAAGCACCGGCUAACUACGUGCCAGCAGCCGCGGUAA